UCAAGUACAGAAAGCUGCUCAUACAUCAGCAAAAACAACCCAACUCUUCUCCAAAUACUUCAGAUAUUUGGGAUGACACCAAAUGCUUCACAUCAACUUCUGUUUGAGGAGCUUUGUAUUUGUUGUUAAUAGUGAGCAUUAAUAACUUACUGAGUAUAACAUGUUUCAGAACAGAUCUGACUGCUGACAGUACACUUGUUUAGACUUUUCAAGACUUAAAAGAUGAAAUCACAAUAACAGGAAGCAUUCAGUUAGUUUUACUCUGUCCAAGUGCUAAAGGAAGGAAAGGUAGUCACCCCAUUUCUAAAGCUCAGUAGCUGAAUUCUGAAAGAUCAGGACAUCGGUGGGCAGACACGACACCGUUUACCACUUUUUGCAUAGCUGGAUGAGAAAAGGUCAGAAAGGUCCAACUAUCGGACCAUUUGAUGAACAAACUGGGCAAACCUAAAACUCAUUUUUUGGAAGUAAAAAGCAGGAAAUGUUGGUCCCAGUUGUAACAGGAUCAGGGGGCUACAGAUCAGGGUUUACAGUCUUCAGCCCACCCUGGUCUUAGAGCAUUCAGUACUUGAACUGGUCACAGUUUAGAACACAGGUAACCUCCACUAUUCCACCUCCUCCGUUUAAGUCAUCUGUGCUACUUGAAGCCUAGGGAUAGCAGUGACGAAAGUAUAGUUUUACCUUCUCGUU